rnacentral:rRNA from 1 species
AACUAUUGGCAACGGAUCUCUUGGCUCACGCAUCGAUGAAGAACGCAGCGAAAUGCGAUAAGUAAUGUGAAUUGCAGAUUUCAGUGAAUCAUCGAAUCUUUGAACGCACCUUGCACCCUUUGGUAUUCCGAAGGGUACACCUGUUUGAGUGUCAUUAAAUUCU